rnacentral:pre_miRNA from 1 species
GGCUUGAGAGAGUGCUUUGAAGAAAAUGCCAUUCUCGUCUCUAAGUAGAGAAUGCGUAAGGUUAAUAGGGGUGACUCGUGUGCAUCCUUUUCUCGCAUACUUGUCCGAAUCUAGGAUAUUAUAGUUAGGGCUCGUGAAUCAGCACAUGAGGGGAUGCACGCGAGAGUCACCCAUCAUCACCUUGCACAUUCUCUACUUGCAAAUGAGACUGACAUUUUCUUCAAAGCACUCUCCCAAGC